GCCAUCCACUUCUCUCACUUGGUCCUCGGGCAUCAAGAAGCCCUUUUCUGAAGUUGCUAUCCAGACGACAGAAUUUGCCCUAGUUUUUUCUGCAUCUCUCAAUCCUCGCAGGGAAAAAAAUUCUAGAUCACUCACCAUUCCGGCGCUAAUCAGGUACUGCACCGUCCUCUCAAUCAUACGCAUAUCAACCCGACCAGAAAGAUAGAGAUAGGUUCUCAACAGAUCCCCGUGGCGAUUCUCCUCCGCCGUCCAUGACCGUGUUCACUUGGCCCAGGGCUCGCACUCGCGCCCGUCUCAUCUCUCACCCCAUCAAGCGUAUUGAUCAUCGUCUGAUAUGUCGGCAAGGCGUCCUCCGUUAUCAUAUCUCCCACUAGCACCACCAAGUACUCGUCCGGAAGCUCCGCCGUCCGAUCACGUAGCUCCCUCACCUGCUCAGAAAAAGCGUCGAACGGCUGCGCGGGGUCCGGUAGGAAGUCCUGCGGCUGCCACAACUGCUCCACGGGUUUCAGAAGCGGUAGGACCCACUCGGAGGCCCACCCUUCCAGUGACUUGAACACUUCCACCUUUUCCGAUGGCAUUGAGUGCGUGACCUGUUGGCGCGCCAGAGCUGCCACGGCUGAGAAGCCAUUGAGUGUGUUUUCAAACAUUCGAAGUCUGGGUGUUGGAAAUUUAAGGCUUUCCUAUAAAGUAAUGCUUCAAGAUGGAGGCAAGAGACUUGGUUGUAGAUAUAUAAACGAGCAACUUAAUUUAAGUUUAUGUAUAUUGUCUUAUAGUGUGUUUUUAAUUUCGUUGUAUAUUAUAUGAGUUUCUUCUAUAUAGAGAAAUUGGGGACAACUUUAAACAAGUUCUUUGAUUUGUGCUUUAAUUAAUAAUCAAAUGUAUAUUAAAUAUGUUUUGAUUAUAUAUAAAAUCAUUAUAAUUUGAUUGUCA